ensembl:snRNA U6 U6 spliceosomal RNA
AUGCUCUCUUUGGCAACACAUAUACUAAAACUGGAAUGACACAGAGAAGAUGACCAUGGCCCCUGUGCAAGGAUGACAUGCCAAUUCGUGAAGCGUUCCAUAUUGUU